UGCGAAAUAAUUGAACUGGGUGGCCUUAUUCUGGCUGAGUUAUGGUCGUUACUGGCCAUAAGACUACACUCUCUGCAGAACUGUAAACUACAGGGCACAGGUGCUGUCUUGUCAUUCAGUUCUCUAAAUGAAUCAUAGUGACUAGUCAACAUGAUGCCAUUGCCAGUGCUUCUUUUGUCAAUAAAUAGUACCCACUAAGGCAGGCUGCUUGUCUGAGCAGAGUGGAGGGCUUUACCAACCAUAUAAUUUAGAGAAUCAAAUGGCGCUGGUUUAGAAGGCCCCUUUACCUUUACUUUGCUUCUGAAACUGUGUCAGAGCAAUGAAUUUGCUACGAAAUCUAGCCCUAGACGGACAUACAGUUUCUGAAUAUUUUAUCUGAUAAGCUACAAAAGCUACUAUAAAUUGCCAGGUAUGCUCAAACUAUCCAUGAUCAAUAUUUUCCUUCGGCGACACAAGCCCCUUCUCUUCUUUUUGCCCUUUCCCUAAAUCGGCCGACAUUCGGCUGGUCAAAACCUGCCACCCCCAUAGGAAGGUCAACAAGUUACAGGAAGAUAAGACUUUUUUUAGGCCAUGGUUCGAUGUUAUGUUAUAAGGUCGAUCUUGAAUUUAUAUCCAUUCAAAUAGUAUUACAUUAGGUUCUCGAGCACGCGGUUAAUUAAAAUCAAACUUUUACCAGCCCUAUCCUGCCUAUCAAAGGGCAAACAAUACCAUAAAUCAUAUCCCAGCUCUGGCUUCUCCCUGUUU
rnacentral:lncRNA from 1 species